UUAUAACUAUUUUGUAGUUAUCCACUCAGGGCGCGUAAGCUGGUUACAAAAAAUAAUAUUUAAUAACAAAAAUGAAAAUUUUCAAUUUUUACGAUUAAAUAAUAUAUAUUAAUAUAUAUUUUUAUUAUUCUAUAGCCAUACCAACCCAGGCCGAGUCACCAAGUGAAGCCAUAAUGGGAUCCCAGCCAAAAUUGGUGUACUACGACAUUUUUGACGAAAUCGAAGCUCGAGUCGCGGCCAUAAAAAGGGCUCAGACAACUGAUGAUGAGACAACAACCGGCAACUCUCCAGCUCGAGCUGCGGUCGAUAACAGCGUUCAGGCCAGAAAUUAUGAGGCAACGACCAGCAACGCACGGGAACAAGUACGAGAAAAAAGACCGUUCGAACAAAGAUUGGCGGUAAGAAGUUGUUCUUAUAUUGUACCGUC